rnacentral:rRNA from 1 species
UACGUAGGGUGCAAGCGUUAAUCGGAAUUACUGGGCGUAAAGCGUGCGCAGGCGGUUAUAUAAGACAGUUGUGAAAUCCCCGGGCUCAACCUGGGAACUGCAUCUGUGACUGUAUAGCUAGAGUACGGUAGAGGGGGAUGGAAUUCCGCGUGUAGCAGUGAAAUGCGUAGAUAUGCGGAGGAACACCGAUGGCGAAGGCAAUCCCCUGGACCUGUACUCGACG